GAGGGUAUAGCUCAAUGGAAGGGUAUGUGCUUAGCAUGCACAAGGACCUGGGUUCAAUCCCCAGUAUCUCCG
rnacentral:tRNA from 1 species